UCCCCCUUAGCUCAGCGGUAGAGCGCGUCACUAGUAUUUACGUAGUUUCUCGUUGCAAAUGACGAGGUCAGUCGUUCAAGUCGGCUAGGGGGAA
rnacentral:tRNA from 1 species